rnacentral:rRNA from 1 species
AUUGAACGCUGGCGGCAGGCCUAACACAUGCAAGUCGAGCGAGCGGCGGACGGGUGAGUAAUGUCUGGGAAACUGCCUGAUGGAGGGGGAUAACUACUGGAAACGGUAGCUAAUACCGCAUACCAUCAGAUGUUCCCAGAGGGGAUUAGCUAGUAGGUGGGGUAACGGCUCACCUAGGCGACGAUCCCUAGCUGGUCUGAGAGGAUGACCAGCCACACUGGAACUGAGACACGGUCCAGACUCCUACGGGAGGCAGCAGUGGGGAAUAUUGCAAAAUGGGCGCAGGCCGGAUGCAGCCAUGCCGCGGGUGGGAAGAAGGCCUGCGGGGUGUAAAGCACUUUCAGCGGGGAGGCGUUACCCGAAGAAGAAGCACCGGCUAAAUCCGUGCCAGCCGCCGCGGUAAUAC